CGGCAAAAUGACCCCGUAACUUCGGGAGAACGGGACCCUCGAAAGAGGCCGCAGAGAAAAGGCUCAAGCAACUGUUUAGCAAAAACACAGGACUAUGCGAAACCGAAAGGUGAAGUAUAUGGGCUGACGCCUGCCCGGUGCUGGAAGGUUAAGAGGAGAGGUUAGCUCACGCGAAGCUUUGAAUCGAAGCCCCAGUAAACGGCGGCCGUAACUAUAACGGUCCUAAGGUAGCGAAAUUCCUUGUCGGGUAAGUUCCGACCCGCACGAAAGGCGUAACGAUCUGGGCACUGUCUCAACGAGAGACUCGGUGAAAUUAUAGUACCUGUGAAGAUGCAGGUUACCCGCGACAGGACGGAAAGACCCCGUGGAGCUUUACUGUAGCCUGAUAUUGAAUUUUGGUACAGCUUGUACAGGAUAGGUAGGAGCCUUGGAAGCCGGAGCGCUAGCUUCGGUGGAGGCGUCGGUGGGAUACUACCCUGGCUGUAUUGAAAUUCUAACCCGCACCCCUGAUCGGGGUGGGAGACAGUGUCAGGUGGGCAGUUUGACUGGGGCGGUCGCCUCCUAAAGAGUAACGGAGGCGCCCAAAGGUUCCCUCAGAAUGGUUGGAAAUCAUUCGUAGAGUGUAAAGGCACAAGGGAGCUUGACUGCGAGACCUACAAGUCGAGCAGGGACGAAAGUCGGGCUUAGUGAUCCGGUGGUUCCGCAUGGAAGGGCCAUCGCUCAACGGAUAAAAGCUACCCCGGGGAUAACAGGCUUAUCUCCCCCAAGAGUCCACAUCGACGGGGAGGUUUGGCACCUCGAUGUCGGCUCAUCGCAUCCUGGGGCUGUAGUCGGUCCCAAGGGUUGGGCUGUUCGCCCAUUAAAGCGGUACGCGAGCUGGGUUCAGAACGUCGUGAGACAGUUCGGUCCCUAUCCGUCGUGGGCGCAGGAAAUUUGAGAGGAGCUGUCCUUAGUACGAGAGGACCGGGAUGGACGCACCGCUGGUGUACCAGUUGUCUUGCCAAAGGCAUCGCUGGGUAGCUAUGUGCGGAAGGGAUAAGUGCUGAAAGCAUCUAAGCAUGAAGCCCCCCUCAAGAUGAGAUUUCCCAUUACGCAAGUAAGUAAGAUCCCUCAAAGACGAUGAGGUAGAUAGGUUCGAGGUGGAAGUGUGGUGACACAUGGAGCUGACGAAUACUAAUCGAUCGAGGACUUAACCUA
rnacentral:rRNA from 1 species